GGCUAAUGCUUUUCAGAGCUAGACUGCCCUGUCCUUCUUCCUAGUCUGUUUUAGUCUGGAAGCUCAGCUGAAACCUGUCCUCCAUGGGUGACCCUGCUGGUAUCUGAAUACUGGUGGCAUAGCUUCCCACAUGACAGCAACAUGCAAGCCCACAGUAUGACAAACUCACAGAAACUUUAAGAUGAUUAGAAGUAGUCAAAUAAGAAGGCAACGCACUGCUUGGGCUCUAAGUUUUUCAUAUCAUACCAGCUCUAGGAUGGUUUACUUUAACCCAUAUACAAAAAUACAUUUUCAUUUAUGGUCAUCAGCAGGGGCAGGGAUGGAAAUUACUUAAUAUUGGAACUCUGUGUUACAUGCAAUUCAUUGGCAUGCUGACCAAUGAUUUACUCUCAGCUGGGGAUGAAGGUUCCUGGAAUUGAAGACCAUGCAUCACUCUUCCUCUAUUUCCGCUUUCAGAUUUGUGUCAGACUCAAUUCUUCCUCUCUUCAGUAGAGAACACUCUGUACCUUGAAGCAUCUGAUGGCUUAUUGAGCCUUAUUAAAAUGUAUAGACCCACGUAAAAAAUCCUAAGUAUUGCAUAGCUGGCAUUUUUUAUAUGUUCUCUUCUGCCUCCUCAAAAUGUUUUGCACAUAUAAAUGUAGCCUUACAGAUCACAAGUCUUCUGGGGGCCUAAACUGUAUCUUGCACUUCUCUUUACCAACUUUUCACUCCCUCCCGUCACUGUGGCCCUUGCCCCUCCCACCCUCCUCCACCUCACCCCACAGUCCCAAUUCAAAGGAUAUAGAUCGUUCUUAAUAUUUACUGCUCAAUUCUUGGUAAAUUAAAUUCAAAAUUAACUGUAGAGAGAAAAAUCUGUGCCAAGAAAUUCUCUAGUAAGUCUGUAUUCUUUGGUUUAUUCAUUGCAUACUUGCAUUUUAUGGACUUUUUUCGCUCAUAGGAGGAAAAAAAAACCCAAAAUGAAACAAAGCAAAAAAAUAGCAGGAUAAAUCUGAAUAAUAUCAGCUGUUGGCUGCAACUAAACCUUUAUAGGAAGGAUUUUGCAGGCAAGCCAGACAGGAUCCUGAGAGAACAAUUUCAGGGCAGAGAGAGACAAAAUGAAUCGCACUCAGGUAAACAGAAAAAACAUGUAUUCAUUAAGACAUAGUUGGGGCGAAGAGGAAGUAGAAAAGGCUACAGGCCUUUGAGGGAAAGGAACUAGGCUCCUAGGAAGAUAUAUUAUUGGGAAUUUUGAAGUCUAAAGUAUCAGCCGAGGGCAGCGUAUUGCUUCCUCUUGGGUAAAGAGGCCUCAGGGUUCAAUUCAUUUGUUUUGGACUAAUAACAAAAAAGCUCUUGGCACAACCCUGUGAUUUGAAAUAUGAAGAAAACAAAUCCGUGGAGGGAAAACCUGGCUCCAAUAUGUGACCACCCUUGUACUAAAGAACAUUAAAUUACAAAUCAGUGAGUGACUUGAAAGCAGAUUAAAAUUUGUUUGUUACUCUAUUUUUAAGACUUUCUUUUAUAAUGUGAAGAAAGAAGGUUAUAUAAAGUUUAGCCAGGUUUUUGUAAGAUGAUCUAAAUGCACCUUUUCCACCUUAUGUUCUCAGAUUUGGCAGUGAAAAAUUGUUCUGAUCACAGUUUCUUGAAGUAUAAUUACUUUGUCAAAAGAAAAUAUAAUUAGAAGUGAUAUUUUAAAAUGUACCAUAAUUAUAUUUAAAGAUUUGAUAAUUUGCUCACGUAUGAAAUGUUCUGUUAAUAUAGCAACAACCAACAGUGUGGAAGUCAGGAAAUGAUCUGACGGUUUUUCUCUUUCCUGUUUUAAAAAUACCAUCUAUUCUACCCUUUGUUUAUUCAAAGAGAUAUAGUCAGUUUCAGUGGUGGAUUGAAUUAAAUGCUUGACACAGCUCUGUGAGCACCGUGUCCAUUUAUUUCCUCUGUUCCACUGUACUUUUUCCAUGUAUCAUACCAUUAUUGCAGCAGAAUAACAACAAAAUACCUCUAGAUUCCAAUACAUCCCUUCCGGUCUUUUCAUUCUUAAUCUCAGUCAGCAUAAAGCUGGUUCUUGUUCCUCAUCUUGGCCCUGGAAACUCUGGAAAUCCCCUUGUAUUAGUCAUCCAGUGCCACUAUAACAGAAAUACCACAGGUGGGUGGCUUUAACAAAGAGACAUUUAUUCUCUCACUGUCUAGCAUGCUACAAGUCCAAAUUCAGGGUGCCAACCUCAGGAAAAGGUUUUCUCUCUCUGUCAGCUGUGGAAGAAGGUCCUUGUCAUCAGUCUUCCCUUGGUCUGGGAGCAUCUCAGCACAGGAACCUCAAAUCCAAAGGAUGCGCUCUGCUCCUGGCACUGCUUUCUUGGUGGAAAUAACAGUGGACCCAGAGGAAGCAGAAAAAGCCUAUGAACCAGAAGUAGCCCUGGCAUAAACACAAAAGGAGAUUGGAUAUAACACAUCGAUGAUCAAUACCUGGACUUAGCUGAGCUCCUGGAUGGCAACCAUGGCAGGUUCUUUAAACUCACAGUGCUGGUUUUCCACCAGAUGCCAUCUGAUUCUUCACCAGGAUCUUAAGCUAGGGGCUGGUGUAGUUGGCAGGAUUUCUGAAGCCACGAGUCCAGUCGAACUCAAGGAGAACUGGACCGCAGAUAUCUUCUGGACCCACGUGUUCCCACUCCAUGUCCCUUUGACACCAACAAGGGGACACGACAAUGAGCAAUACCAUCAGGACCCAAGAUAAUUGAGCAAAGUCUGGAUCCAUCUUGUGACCAAAGCCAGGAUGGCGAUAAGAGACCUGCUAGACAUCAACAAUAGGUCACUUCGUCAUUAUGUCCACCUCAAAGAAGAAUCAACAUUCCUGGAAAUCUCUAAACCCUGACCUUCUCCCUAUAAAACCCUCCAGUCAGCCAUUUUGGGGCAGACAGAAUUUGGGCAACCCUCUGUCUCUUGAACACAGUGUUCAAUAAAGCCCUCUUGCUGCUUACCUCCUCCUGUCUUAGUAUUGGCUUUGCGGCAGGCUGCUCGAAUCCGCGAUUUGUGGUAACAGGGUUUUGUCAAAAGGUCUAAUAUUCCUCUAUCUGAAGCUCUGCAAGUUAAUAAGUUUUAUCAAGAACCUGUUUUUUUCCAUUGAAUUGAGUAGAUCUUACCAAAAAUUGCUACAUACACUUUCAGAAACUAGGAUCCCCAUAUCCUUGCGUUGUGUGGUAUUGUUCAGUUAGUUCAUGUGAUUUUUCUGUCUCCUUUUGUUCUAAGAGCUUGCUUCUGGUCUACAGUGUUGUGUCUAAGUUUCUGUCUUGUAUCAGAUUAGAGGCUAUGGCUAAGAAUUGUUGGUUUGUUUUUUUUUUUAAGACAAUCUUAGAACCUCAGUUCUUUUCUUGUUCAGAAAAACUGGAUCUUGUGUCUGUCUUAGGAUUUAGGCUUUUAGUAGCUACUUAGAGAAACUUUGAUAUAAGUUGGUCUAUUUGAAAAGUACACUAAGAUCUUUAUGUUCCGUAUGUCAGUCUUAGAAGCAAAAUCUAAGUAAGCUUCUGUCAUUAAGCUGAUGUGAUAGCAGUGGGACUAUAGUUUCGUGAUUGUAAGAAUUUUUCCAUUAAUUUUAAUUCUAAGCCACUGAAAGCCUGUACAAAGAAAACCUGGCAAAGGCCAUAUUUAGCAACUGACACUCCUUGAGUAUGGGUGCCUGUGUCUUUGUUGCCUGCAGAUGGCAUGGCCAGAGGAGUUAUUCAUUACAAGAUAGUGACAAAAGACUCUUUAUCAGACUAAAGAGAUAUAUGCAGGACAUCUCUUUAUCAGGCUAAAGAUAUACAUGUCAGACUUUUGGGCUCUGAUUUUCCUGUGGGGAGUUGUAAGUCACAGGUGGUUAGAUAGAACAAAACAAAGUUAUUUGCAUCCAAUCAAACAAAGAACAAAGUCCUUAGAAUUAGGUCAAAAGAAAGUCAUUAACAAAGGUAUGUGAAGGAGGAGGCAGACAGAGGAAGGAGAAGAACUUAAAGGUUCAUCAUGGCAUUAAUUAUGUCAAGCUCUCAGUUGCCCCUUUUGAAAAGGAGGAAACGUGCUGGGGAGUAUUAGGGUCACAGAGUCUCCAUAUUUUUCUGAUGAUUUUCCUUUUUGCUUAUAUUUGUAAGAGUUGAUUUGUAGCAAAGAAUCAUGACCACCCUACAUGGAUAAUAAACAACCAAAGCAAAAACCAGUUGCCAUGGAGUUGAUUUCAACUCAUGGUGACCCUGGGUGUGUCAGAGUAGAACUAUGCUCCAUAGGGUUUUCAGUGGCUGAUUAUUUUGGAAGUAGAUCAUCAGACCUCUCUUCUGAGGUGCCUCUAGUUGGAUUCAAACCCUGAAACUUUUGGUUAGGAGCCAAGUGCUACCCAGGGAUACAAAUUAUAAGGAAACAAGGACAGAAAUUAGAGGGGAUAAUAGUGAUGUACUUUUUAAUCUCAGAAAACCUCCACUAGUCCACUUGAGAUAAAAAACACACAAAAACAAAAACAAAAACUUAGUUUUAGCUUCCUGAACAUCAACGCGAAAAAGAAAACAGUUUGCAUCAUAACUCUUUUUUUAAAUUAUAUGACAAGGGACCAAAUAAGAUCAUUAGGAGGGAAGAUUUUUCUAUACCUGGAACUUUGAGAAAAACAUAAAAUGUGAGAAUUUGUGUAAUGGAUGUUGAACAAUAUAACGGGCAGUGUCUGUAGUUUUAUCAAGUACCCGCAAAGAGUUUCUUUAUACAGUUCUUUAUUAUAUCAGCCCUCAAUAAAAGCUCAGGACACAAUGCUAAAUAACAGGGCUGUGAAGACAUGUCUACGGUUGAUUGAUUUCCAAUUAUGGCAUAAACCUGAGGAAAACAUGACAGUGAGA